rnacentral:rRNA from 1 species
AACGAACGCUGGCGGCAGGCUUAACACAUGCAAGUCGAGCGCCCCGCAAGGGGAGCGGCAGACGGGUGAGUAACGCGUGGGAACGUACCUUUUGGUUCGGAACAACUCCGGGAAACUGGAGCUAAUACCGGAUAAGCCCUAACGGGGAAAGAUUUAUCGCCGAAAGAUCGGCCCGCGUCUGAUUAGCUAGUUGGUGAGGUAACGGCUCACCAAGGCGACGAUCAGUAGCUGGUCUGAGAGGAUGAUCAGCCACACUGGGACUGAGACACGGCCCAGACUCCUACGGGAGGCAGCAGUGGGGAAUAUUGGACAAUGGGCGCAAGCCUGAUCCAGCCAUGCCGCGUGAGUGAUGAAGGCCUUAGGGUUGUAAAGCUCUUUUGUCCGGGAAGAUAAUGACUGCACCGGAAGAAUAAGCCCCGGCUAACUUCGUG